rfam:Otolemur garnettii contig174907, whole genome shotgun sequence.
GUUGGGCACAGUGGCAUGUGCUUAUAGUCCCAGCUACUCGGGAGGCUGAGGCAGGAGAAUUGUUUGAGUUCAGGAGUUCUGGGCUGUAGUGUGCUAUGCUGAUCAGGUGUCUACACUAAGUUAGCAUCAAUAUGGUAACCUCCAAGGAGCCAAGGACCACCAGGUUGCCUAAGGUGAACCUUCCCAGGAGUAGGCUAAAAGCUCCUAUGCUAAUCAAUAGUGGGAUCGUGCCUGUGAAUAGCCACUGCACUUCAGCCUGGGCAACAUAGUGAGACCCCAUCUCUU